rnacentral:rRNA from 1 species
GACGAACGCUGGCGGCGUGCUUAACACAUGCAAGUCGAACGGAAAGGCCCUGCUUUUGUGGGGUGCUCGAGUGGCGAACGGGUGAGUAACACGUGAGUAACCUGCCCUUGACUUUGGGAUAACUUCAGGAAACUGGGGCUAAUACCGGAUAGGAGCUCCUGCUGCAUGGUGGGGGUUGGAAAGUUUCGGCGGUUGGGGAUGGACUCGCGGCUUAUCAGCUUGUUGGUGGGGUAGUGGCUUACCAAGGCUUUGACGGGUAGCCGGCCUGAGAGGGUGACCGGCCACAUUGGGACUGAGAUACGGCCCAGACUCCUACGGGAGGCAGCAGUGGGGAAUAUUGCACAAGGGGCGGGAGCCUGAUGCAGCAACGCCGCGUGCGGGAUGACGGCCUUCGGGUUGUAACCGCUUUCGCCUGUGACGAAGCGUGAGUGACGGUAAUGGGUAAAGAAGCACCGGCUAACUACGUG